rnacentral:tRNA from 1 species
UCCCUGGUGGCUCAGAUGGUAAAGCAUCUGCCUGCAAUGCAGGAGACCCAGGUUUGAUCCCUGGGUUGGGAA